AGAGUUUGAUCCUGGCUCAGGAUGAACGCUAGCUACAGGCUUAACACAUGCAAGUCGAGGGGCAGCAUUUUAGUUUGCUUGCAAACUAAAGAUGGCGACCGGCGCACGGGUGAGUAACACGUAUCCAACCUGCCGAUAACUCGGGGAUAGCCUUUCGAAAGAAAGAUUAAUAUCCGAUAGUAUAUUAAAACCGCAUGGUUUUACUAUUAAAGAAUUUCGGUUAUCGAUGGGGAUGCGUUCCAUUAGUUUGUUGGCGGGGUAACGGCCCACCAAGACUACGAUGGAUAGGGGUUCUGAGAGGAAGGUCCCCCACAUUGGAACUGAGACACGGUCCAAACUCCUACGGGAGGCAGCAGUGAGGAAUAUUGGUCAAUGGACGAGAGUCUGAACCAGCCAAGUAGCGUGAAGGAUGACUGCCCUAUGGGUUGUAAACUUCUUUUAUAUGGGAAUAAAGUAUUCCACGUGUGGGAUUUUGUAUGUACCAUAUGAAUAAGGAUCGGCUAACUCCGUGCCAGCAGCCGCGGUAAUACGGAGGAUCCGAGCGUUAUCCGGACUUAUUGGGUUUAAAGGGAGCGUAGGUGGAUUGUUAAGUCAGUUGUGAAAGUUUGCGGCUCAACCGUAAAAUUGCAGUUGAAACUGGCAGUCUUGAGUACAGUAGAGGUGGGCGGAAUUCGUGGUGUAGCGGUGAAAUGCUUAGAUAUCACGAAGAACUCCGAUUGCGAAGGCAGCUCACUAGACUGCAACUGACACUGAUGCUCGAAAGUGUGGGUAUCAAACAGGAUUAGAUACCCUGGUAGUCCACACAGUAAACGAUGAAUACUCGCUGUUUGCGAUAUACAGUAAGCGGCCAAGCGAAAGCAUUAAGUAUUCCACCUGGGGAGUACGCCGGCAACGGUGAAACUCAAAGGAAUUGACGGGGGCCCGCACAAGCGGAGGAACAUGUGGUUUAAUUCGAUGAUACGCGAGGAACCUUACCCGGGCUUAAAUUGCAUUUGAAUAAUCUGGAAACAGGUUAGCCGCAAGGCAAAUGUGAAGGUGCUGCAUGGUUGUCGUCAGCUCGUGCCGUGAGGUGUCGGCUUAAGUGCCAUAACGAGCGCAACCCUUAUCUUUAGUUACUAACAGGUCAUGCUGAGGACUCUAGAGAGACUGCCGUCGUAAGAUGUGAGGAAGGUGGGGAUGACGUCAAAUCAGCACGGCCCUUACGUCCGGGGCUACACACGUGUUACAAUGGGGGGUACAGAAGGCAGCUACCUGGUGACAGGAUGCUAAUCCCAAAAACCUCUCUCAGUUCGGAUCGAAGUCUGCAACCCGACUUCGUGAAGCUGGAUUCGCUAGUAAUCGCGCAUCAGCCAUGGCGCGGUGAAUACGUUCCCGGGCCUUGUACACACCGCCCGUCAAGCCAUGAAAGCCGGGGGUACCUGAAGUACGUAACCGCAAGGAGCGUCCUAGGGUAAAACUGGUAAUUGGGGCUAAGUCGUAACAAGGUAGCCG
rnacentral:rRNA from 1 species